rnacentral:rRNA from 1 species
GACGGAAGGUGCAAGCGUUGCUCGGAAUCACUGGGCGUAAAGGGUGCGUAGGCGGCCGUGCAAGUCUGGCGUGAAAGCCCCGGGCUCAGCCCGGGAAGUGCGCUCGAAACUGCGCGGCUCGAGUGCCGGAGGGGAGAGUGGAAUUCCUGGUGUAGCGGUGAAAUGCGCAGAUAUCAGGAGGAACACCGAUGGCGAAGGCAGGUCUCUGGGCCACUACUGACGCUGAGAAGCGAAAGCAUGGGGAGCGAACAGG